AGAAAGUGUUUUUCUAAUUGAAAUCGCCAUCUCUCCCUGCUGUUGACUCGUGAGCCAGGACCAGAUUGCUUAGUGAUCACUGAUGCCUUGCUGUGCAUGUGAAAGCAUUAAGUUGUCAGUUUAACAACGUGUUGUUUUUCAAGACAAUGCUUGUCACUUUAAGCACGUGCCCAGUACUGGUUUGUGUAUGGAGUACAUUCCUGCCAAGCAUUUCUGAGUUUUCUUUCAGUGGGUUAAAUGUGAUUUUUAGGUAUUUGAGGCACAUUAUCACUGUAAGCAGCAGGCAGUAGCCUCCAGCUUUGCUGUACUGAGCCAGCUGUUCGCAGGCAGAUGCUGCUCAGUACACACUGCCACAAUCAACUCAGUUCUUCAGUCAGUAGCAAGGAAAUUUGCUCAAGGGUUGCUUAUACAGAGGGGUGUCUUUGGAGGAAUUUGAUGGCAGAACAAAGCAGCGACUGCUUCACUUUUCUGUGCAGAGCUGGCAGUGCCUGCAGACAGAAGCCCUGCUCUGUUCCUUUCCUGGCAGCAUCCUCGUGCCUCUGGGAAUAGGAAGGGAGUGAACUGGAACAGUUCUGUACGGAGCCAGUAUCCUUCC
rnacentral:lncRNA from 1 species